AGCGAACGCUGGCGGCAGGCUUAACACAUGCAAGUCGAGCGGGCCCUUCGGGGUCAGCGGCGGACGGGUGAGUAACGCGUGGGAACGUGCCUUCUGGUCUGGAAUAACCCUGGGAAACUAGGGCUAAUACCGGAUACGCCCUUUUGGGGAAAGGUUUACUGUCGGAAGAUCGGCCCGCGUCUGAUUAGCUAGUUGGUGGCGUAACGGCCUACCAAGGCGACGAUCAGUAGCUGGUCUGAGAGGAUGAUCAGCCACACUGGGACUGAGACACGGCCCAGACUCCUACGGGAGGCAGCAGUGGGGAAUAUUGGACAAUGGGCGCAAGCCUGAUCCAGCCAUGCCGCGUGAGUGAUGAAGGCCUUAGGGUUGUAAAGCUCUUUUAUCCGGGACGAUAAUGACGGUACCGGAGGAAUAAGCCCCGGCUAACUUCGUG
rnacentral:rRNA from 1 species